GACAGCAGUCGCCGCGGUAAUACGGAGGAUCCAAGCGUUAUCCGGAAUCAUUGGGUUUAAAGGGUCCGUAGGCGGUCUUGUAAGUCAGUGGUGAAAGCCCAUCGCUCAACGGUGGAACGGCCAUUGAUACUGCAGGACUUGAAUUAUUGGGAAGUAACUAGAAUAUGUAGUGUAGCGGUGAAAUGCUUAGAGAUUACAUGGAAUACCAAUUGCGAAGGCAGGUUACUACCAAUUGAUUGACGCUGAUGGACGAAAGCGUGGGUAGCGAACAGGAUUAGAUACCUGCGUAGUCCCUGUCUCUUAUAC
rnacentral:rRNA from 1 species